CCACGAAUCACCGCUGCUGGGCUGGUAUCUCGCCUUCUGCUAUCCACUCUGGACCUAUGACCAGGUUCCAGGUGGUGAACCUCUUCCUUCUGCAGAGCGAAGCAGGAUCAGGAACAAGAGCUCUUGCAAGAGCUCAGUAGCUAAGGGAGUAUGAAGAGCAUAGCAAUCCCUGUAGUGAUUAUGGCUGUCCCCUGCAAUCACGAGUAGAGGCUGCGAGUUCUCUUUAAUUGGCACCAAAGGGCGUUCUUUUAUACAGGACCGCCCACAGGGUUUUGCAGAACAACCAAUAAACACGUAACAUACAGUAAAAACACACCCAUC